AAGUCGUAACAAGGUUUCCGUAGGUGAACCUGCGGAAGGAUCAUUAUUGAAUAAACUUGAUGGGUUGUAGCUGGUUCCAUUCGGUGCAUGUGCUCGCUCGUCACCUUUAUUUCUCCACCUGUGCACAUUUUGUAGACUUGGAUUUUACUAGUCCGAGGUAACUCGGGUUGAGAGGAUUGUCUUUUCUUAGGCUUUCCUUGUGUAUUCCAGUCUAUGUUUUUCAUAUACUCCAAAGAAUGUAACAGAAUGUAUCAUUAGGCUUUUGUGCCUAUAAAAAACUAUACAACUUUCAGCAACGGAUCUCUUGGCUCUC
rnacentral:misc_RNA from 1 species